rnacentral:rRNA from 1 species
GGGGAAUAUUGGACAAUGGGCGGAAGCCUGAUCCAGCCAUGCCGCGUGUGUGAAGAAGGCCUUUUGGUUGUAAAGCACUUUAAGCGAGGAGGAGGCUACUGGUACUAAUACUACUGGAUAGUGGACGUUACUCGCAGAAUAAGCACCGGCUAACUCUGUGCCAGCAGCCGCGGUAAUACAGAGGGUGCGAGCGUUAAUCGGAUUUACUGGGCGUAAAGCGUGCGUAGGCGGCUGAUUAAGUCGGAUGUGAAAUCCCUGAGCUUAACUUAGGAAUUGCAUUCGAUACUGGUCAGCUAGAGUAUGGGAGAGGAUGGUAGAAUUCCAGGUGUAGCGGUGAAAUGCGUAGAGAUCUGGAGGAAUACCGAUGGCGAAGGCAGCCAUCUGGCCUAAUACUGACGCUGAGGUACGAAAGCAUGGGGAGCAAAC